rnacentral:rRNA from 1 species
GCUUAGCCUUAAACAUAGAUGUUUAUACUACAAAAAACAUCCGCCAGGGUACUACGAGCGCUAGCUUAAAACCCAAAGGACUUGACGGUGUCUCAGACCCACCUAGAGGAGCCUGUUCUAGAACCGAUAAUCCUCGUUAAACCUUACCACCCCUGGUUUUCCCCAGCCUAUAUACCGCCGUCGCAAGCUUACCCUGUGAAGGAUUAACAGUAAGCAAAAUGAGAUCAUCCUCAAAACGUCAGGUCGAGGUGUAGCUUACGGGGUGGAAAGAAAUGGGCUACAUUUUCUGUAUCAGAAUAUACGAACAGGGUUAUGAAACUAACCCUAGAAGGUGGAUUUAGUAGUAAAAAUCAAGCAGAGAGUCAUUUUGAACUAGGCUCUGAGACGCGC